GUGGGAGCUGGCUUGCCUGCGAUAGCAGUGUGUCAUUCAGCACAUCAGUGACUGAACCACCGCAAUCGCAGGCAAGCCAGCUCCCAC
rnacentral:antisense_RNA from 1 species